GCCUACGGCCAUACCAGUCUGAAAGUGCCUGAUCUCGUCAGAUCUCAGAAGUCAUGCAGACUUGGGCCUGCUUAGUACUUGUAUGGGAGACCAACUAGGAACCUCAGGUGCGGUAAGCU